UUAAUCGAAGCCAAAAAGAGGCCUACCACUGUUAAUGGUAGUACUGAUUCUAUACAAUCCGAUUAAA
rnacentral:tRNA from 1 species